AAAGGAUUCCAUUUUCUAUCAGAAAAACUCCCACAAUCCCUGUGGCUUUGAGAGGAGAAGGCCACAGAUGUUAGAAAGUCAUGCUAGAAGGUUUCCUGGGUGACCCGAUGAAUCACACAUAAUGGUGACCGUGGGAGGAUUGUCGUGAUCUCCGCUAUGAUGUGGAUCCAAUCCAACCUUCCUCUGAGCUAAGCCAUAUCCUGGUCUGGCUACAUGUGCCAUUUGGCGCCUUCCAUCAGGGUUAAACAAACUGGAUACAUGAAUGGAACCUCAUGUGAAGGAACAUUUCAUUUGCAAACCUUAAUUUACAAUGGAAUAUCUGACUGAUCAUCAAGCAAACAGGGGAUCAGUUGAGGGUACUCCAGCUUAGCUAUG
ensembl:lncRNA